AUGGGGCGAAUCACACAUAACCCUAUAUGGUGUCAAAUUUGGAAGUUAUCUUGUCCGACAAAAGUAAAAAAAAUUAUAUGGCGUACAUAACAUGGCACCCUCCCAUGCCGGGUAACACUCACUAAUAGACACAUGAAGGUCUCAUCAUCUUGUCCUAAUAGCUCUCAAGGUUUAGAAGAUACGAAACACAUGCUUUUCCUCUGUAGUAAAGCAAAGGAGGUUUGGAAGAAACUAGGGAUGGAUGAGAUUAUUUAUAAAGCUUGUGAGGUUGACCGUGCUGGGGAGGCGAUAUUGGAAUACCUUCUACUCCGAUAUUAUUUGAGUAUUAUGGGGUACCAAAAUGUACGAGAGAUGAUAGCCAUUUCAGCUUGGUAUCUAUGGUGGGAAAGACGAAAAUUAGUGCACAAGGAAUUAACUCAGAAUGCAAAUCAGAUAUCAAUGGGGAUCAUGAACCUCACAUCCAAUUUUGUAAAUGAAUCAUCUCCGAAGGCGUCGAUGAAAAAGCGGGGAUGGUAUUGUCCUCCUAGGGGUUUUGUGAAACUUAAUGUUGACACCUCUUUUGAUCAUGACAUGAUAAAGGGUACGAUGGGGGCAGUACUGAGGGGCGAUAAAGGUAGGUUUAUUGUAGGAGGAAAUGGAAAAAUUGACUACUGUGCGGAUGUUCUGAUGGAGGAAGCUUUAGCACUCAAAUUUGGUCUAACACUGGUGCAAAGGGCGGGGUGUAAUCGCAUAAUCAUCAAUUCAGACAAUCUGGAGGUGAUAGAGACUAUGCAGGAUGAAGGACAAUCAACGGAUGCGGCGACAUCAAUUUUUUAUGACUGCUUUCACUAUGCAUGUGAUUUUGUCAUGACUAGAUUCGAACAUUGUUAUAGAGAGGCAAAUAAACUAGAUCAUGAACUUGCCAGAUUAGCUAGAUUUUCUUUGAGUUCAGACUAUUUUGAGGAGCCUCUAAAUGAAAUUGUAGUGAUCCUCACAAACGAUGUAACGGUUAUCUCAAAUGAAUAA
rnacentral:rRNA from 1 species